rnacentral:rRNA from 1 species
GACGAACGCUGGCGGCGUGCUUAACACAUGCACGUCGAGCGGAGCGGCGAACGGGUGAGUAACGCGUGAGUAACUGCCCCCCUCUCUGGGAUAACAGUUGGAAACGGCUGCUAAUCCCGGAUAGUGGGGGAUGACGCGCGUCCUAUCAGCUUGUUGGUGGGGUAGUGGCCUACCAAGGCGACGACGGGUAGCCGGCCUGAGAGGGCGACCGGCCAAAGUGGGUUGAGAUAGGGCACAAAACCCUAUGGGAGGCAGCAGGGGGGAAUAGUGCACAAGGGGGGAAACCCUGAUGCAGCAACGCCGGGGGCGGGAUGACGGGCUUCGUGUUGUAAACCGCUUUCAGCCAUGACGCGGUAGUGGCAGAAGAAGCACCGGCUAACUACGUGCCAGCCGCCGCGGUAAUUC